AUUGAACGCUGGCGGCAUGCCUUACACAUGCAAGUCGAACGGCAGCACGGGUGCUUGCACCUGGUGGCGAGUGGCGAACGGGUGAGUAAUGCAUCGGAACGUACCCGGGAGUGGGGGAUAACGUAGCGAAAGUUACGCUAAUACCGCAUAUUCUGUGAGCAGGAAAGAGGGGGAUCGCAAGACCUCCCGCUUUCGGAGCGGCCGAUGUCGGAUUAGCUAGUUGGUGGGGUAAAGGCCUACCAAGGCAACGAUCCGUAGCGGGUCUGAGAGGAUGAUCCGCCACACUGGGACUGAGACACGGCCCAGACUCCUACGGGAGGCAGCAGUGGGGAAUUUUGGACAAUGGGCGCAAGCCUGAUCCAGCCAUGCCGCGUGAGUGAAGAAGGCCUUCGGGUUGUAAAGCUCUUUCGGCCGGGAAGAAAUCGCAUCUCCUAAUACGGGGUGUGGAUGACGGUACCGGAAUAAGAAGCACCGGCUAACUACGUGCCAGCCGCCGCUGUAA
rnacentral:rRNA from 1 species